GAAUUGACACCCCUAGGUGGAAUAUUCUAUCCAUUCUUCGGUGUGUUCUCAUAUCUGCAACUCUUCUGCUCUAAAGUUAUGCAGGAGAGUGAUCCGAUGCGAUGUCUGACCCUCCGACCUAUGACAAGUUCCAGUUGGGCAACUCCAAUUUCUGUUUUUGGAUUCAAAAGGUUCCUUUGUCAAGAAAACGAUGACGAACAGAGCAAGAGAGAGAGAGAGAGAGUGGCUAGGGCAAGAAUUUGCGGGAUCCUUUCGCAGGAAGAAGGAAGAGACGAUUUCGAAAAUCAGUAAUGCAAGACCCUCGAAUGCUGCCACCUGAGAAAAUCUCAAAUGCAAGACGGAAAAAAAAAGCCUCAACACAUGUUACACCAGUGUUUCAGCAGCAAGGAGAGAAUCUCAAAGGGGUUCAGGAGAUAAUUCCUUCGUCGUUAAAGACCCCACAGAAGGUUCAGAAGAGAAACCUGAAGAAUGAAGGUACUCCAUCAUUUCAACAGCCAGAGAGAUCAACCUCGGAUUCCAGAUUCUUCAAGAUCUGGAAAUGAUUACAGAGCACUGAGACGAAAAUAUUUGCUUCUUGAAGAAGAAAGCUGUGGGUUGGGGAGGGAAUUGAGUGAGGUGGAAGAUGAAGUCAAGGCCCUGGCAGAUGAGAAGCUUGCACUCUUGGACCAGCUUGUUGUUUUAGAAGGUCUAAUUCAUCCCUCAGAACUUCAGCGCCGAGGGCCACCCCUGUAGUAAUAGUUGUUUUACAAACCAACACUAUUGCUGUAAAUAAAUUUGAUGAGUUCCUCAGUAUGAAAAGCAGAGAAACCCAGACUAUCCCAAAUCAUCACAAUUUGAUGGAAUUAUAAGAGAUGACAAAGGUCAUUGUGUGGCUGCUGCAUAGCAGACUAACCCAAAUCAUCACUUUUUUGCAGAAGCAGCAGCCAUUCAUCUUGGAUUGAAACUAACUAAUGAUCCUAGCAUCAAGAACAUCAUUUUGGAGAGUGAAUCUGCCGAGCUAAUUAAUUGCCUAGUUUCUAUUUUAUAGGAAGGACUUGUGAAUUUUCCUUCAGAAAUUUAUACCAUCCUUGUGGAAUAUAUCUUCUAGUUUUCUCUCU